rnacentral:rRNA from 1 species
UCCAGACUCCUACGGGAGGCAGCAGUGGGGAAUAUUGGGCAAUGGGCGCAAGCCUGACCCAGCAACGCCGCGUGAAGGAAGAAGGCUUUCGGGUUGUAAACUUCUUUUCUGAGGGACGAUAGUGACGGUACCUCAGGAAUAAGCCCCGGCUAACUACGUGCCAGCAGCCGCGGUAAUACGUAGGGGGCAAGCGUUAUCCGGAUUUACUGGGUGUAAAGGGAGCGUAGACGGCAAUGCAAGUCUGGAGUGAAAGCCCAAGGCCCAACCAUGGGACUGCUCUGGAAACUGUGUAGCUUGAGUGCAGGAGGGGUAAGCGGAAUUCCUAGUGUAGCGGUGAAAUGCGUAGAUAUUAGGAGGAACACCGGUGGCGAAGGCGGCUUACUGGACUGCAACUGACGUUGAGGCUCGAAGGCGUGGGGAGCAAACAGGAUUAGAUACCCUCGUA